rnacentral:rRNA from 1 species
GACGAACGCUGGCGGCGUGCCUAAUACAUGCAAGUAGAACGCUGAAGGAGGAGCUUGCUUCUCUGGAUGAGUUGCGAACGGGUGAGUAACGCGUAGGUAACCUGCCUGGUAGCGGGGGAUAACUAUUGGAAACGAUAGCUAAUACCGCAUAGGAGUAGAUGUUGCAUGACAUUUGCUUAAAAGGUGCAAUUGCAUCACUACCAGAUGGACCUGCGUUGUAUUAGCUAGUUGGUGGGGUAACGGCUCACCAAGGCGACGAUACAUAGCCGACCUGAGAGGGUGAUCGGCCACACUGGGACUGAGACACGGCCCAGACUCCUACGGGAGGAAGCAGUAGGGAAUCUUCGGCAAUGGAGGGAAGUCUGACCGAGCAACGCCGCGUGAGUGAAGAAGGGUGUCGGAUCGUAAAGCUCUGUUGUAAGAGAAGAACGAGUGUGAGAGUGGAAAGUUCACACUGUGACGGUAUCUUACCAGAAAGGGACGGCUAACUACGUG